rnacentral:rRNA from 1 species
UUUUAAUUUUUAUAAGUUAAUUUUUAUUUAAUUUAUAAAAAUUGUAUUGGGGUGAUAAAAAAAUUUUUAAAACUUUUUUACUUUAAAUUCUUUUAUUUAAGUAAAAUUUUAAAAUUUAAAUUUUAAAAUUUAAAUAAAA